CCGGAUGUAUCUCCUCCACUGAAAGAAGUGUUUGGGUUUGAAACGAAGACACUCUUUUAUGUAAAUAUGUCUGUCACCUUUCAAUAUAUAUCUCUGCAGCAGGAUUCUACAAACAAAAUGAAGAAAAAACAAAGCAUGGCUUCCCCCUGUAAACACCUCUUCCCCCAAGAGAGCACAUAAAAGACUCUCUCAAGUUUAUCACCAUCACAGCCCUACAGGUUGAUUGGACAGAGCUUCUGGUUCUUUCUCCAGAGGAGGGGAACUCUGGGUUCUCAGGUAGCAGCAGUCCACAGUGGCUGAACCACAUGAACAAAAUGGUGCCUGCCUACGGUUGGAAGACCAGAUUGUCCCAAGCAGGACGAAAUAGGAUCACUGGAGUGCUGUCCAUCAAAUCCCCCAGUCCUCCUUGAAGGCAAGAGUGAGAUACAGAGCAUGGCAUGCUCCCCGAGGGGCUCUGGAGAAUCCUUAGAAACCCGCCAGCCAGGUGGAGGGAUGUAUCAGUGUCUUCAGGCCUGAGCCCGAAACUGGCACAGCCUCUUCUUUCUGGUAAAGCAUUCACAGAGAUAACCAAAGUCCAAUGGAA
rnacentral:lncRNA from 1 species